rnacentral:rRNA from 1 species
CCUACGGGAGGCAGCAGUGAGGAAUAUUGGUCAAUGGGCGCGAGCCUGAACCAGCCAAGUAGCGUGAAGGAUGACUGCCCUACGGGUUGUAAACUUCUUUUAUAAAGGACUAAAGUGAGGCACGUGUGCCUUUUAGUAUGUACUUUCUGAAUAAGGAUCGGCUAACUCAGUGCCAGCAGGCGCGGGAAUACGGAGGUUCCGUGCGUUAUACGGAUAUUUUGGGGUUAAAGGGUGCGUAGGUGGGUUGUUAAGGCAGUUGGUGAAGUCUGCGGCUCAAACGUAAAGUUGCAAUUGAUACUGGCAGUCUUGAGUACAGUUGAGGUAGGCGGAAUUCGUGGUGUAGCGGUGAAAUGCUUAGAUAUCACGAAGAACUCCGAUUGCGAAGGCAGCUUACUAAGCUUCCACUGACAUUGAUGCUCGAAAGUGUGGGUAUCAAACAGGAUUAGAUACCCUAGUAGUC